rnacentral:rRNA from 1 species
GGGCCCGCACAAGCGGUGGAGUAUGUGGUUUAAUUCGAUGCAACGCGAAGAACCUUACCAGGGUUUGACAUCCUGCGAAUCUCUUGGAAACAGGAGAGUGCCUUCGGGAACGCAGUGACAGGUGGUGCAUGGCUGUCGUCAGCUCGUGUCGUGAGAUGUUGGGUUAAGUCCCGCAACGAGCGCAACCCUUGUCCCUAGUUGCCAGCACUUCGGGUGGGAACUCUAGGGAGACUGCCGGUGACAAACCGGAGGAAGGUGUGGAUGACGUCAAGUCAUCAUGCCCCUUACAUCCUGGGCUACACACGUACUACAAUGCUACGGACAAAGGGCUGCAAGUUCGCGAGGACAAGCAAAUCCCAUAAACCGUGGCUCAGUUCAGAUCGUAGGCUGCAACUCGCCUACGUGAAGGCGGAAUCGCUAGUAAUCGCAGGUC